rnacentral:rRNA from 1 species
UACGAAGGGGGCUAGCGUUGUUCGGAAUUACUGGGCGUAAAGCGCACGUAGGCGGAUACUUAAGUCAGGGGUGAAAUCCCGGGGCUCAACCCCGGAACUGCCUUUGAUACUGGGUAUCUCGAGUCCGGAAGAGGUGAGUGGAAUUCCGAGCGUAGAGGUGAAAUUCGUAGAUAUUCGGAGGAACACCAGUGGCGAAGGCGGCUCACUGGUCCGGUACUGACGCUGAGGUGCGAAAGCGUGGGGAGCAAACAGG